rnacentral:pre_miRNA from 1 species
CCCUUAACUAUUAAAAGUUUCGUUUUGGUCCCUUAACUUAUUUUUUGGUUUCAUUUUGGUCCCUUAACUCUUUCUCCGACAACCACUUUGGUCCUUUAUGUUAGGAUGAAUGUAUUACAGUUAAGGACCAAAACGAAAUCAAAAAAUAAGUUAAGUGACCAAAACGAAAACAAAAAAUAAGUUACGGGACCAAAACGAAACUUUUAAUAGUUAAGGGACCAAAACGAAACCAAAAAAUAAGUUAAGGGACCAAAACGAAACUUUUAAUAGUUAAGGGA